GAUGAACGCUGGCGGCGUGCCUAAUACAUGCAAGUCGAGCGAACAGGCGAGGAGCUUGCUCCUCUGACGUUAGCGGCGGACGGGUGAGUAACACGUGGAUAACCUACCUAUAAGACUGGGAUAACUUCGGGAAACCGGAGCUAAUACCGGAUAAUAUAUUGAACCGCAUGGUUCAAUAGUGAAAGACGGUUUUGCUGUCACUUAUAGAUGGAUCCGCGCCGCAUUAGCUAGUUGGUAAGGUAACGGCUUACCAAGGCGACGAUGCGUAGCCGACCUGAGAGGGUGAUCGGCCACACUGGAACUGAGACACGGUCCAGACUCCUACGGGAGGCAGCAGUAGGGAAUCUUCCGCAAUGGGCGAAAGCCUGACGGAGCAACGCCGCGUGAGUGAUGAAGGUCUUCGGAUCGUAAAACUCUGUUAUUAGGGAAGAACAAAUGUGUAAGUAACUAUGCACGUCUUGACGGUACCUAAUCAGAAAGCCACGGCUAACUACGU
rnacentral:rRNA from 1 species